GCCCCACCCAUCCUCUGCCGGUACCUCAUAGAUGCCGAAGCCAAUGGUGUGCAUGUCCUCGCCCAUCUUCCUCUGCCGUCGCCGGUGCUUCUGGAUGAGACCCACCAGGAAGGUCCCAGGCAUCAGGCUUGGCGCCAAGCAUCGUUACCUACUGGGCCAUCUCACUAGCCUGUGGGGUGUGUUUUACCCCAGAGGGCCCAAUAGCAGAGUGAACGUGAGCUGGAAAAGGAAGGAGGGACCACGGACCGGACCAUGAGCUGAUCCAGAGAGUAAAAGAACGCCUGCAGCUGCCUCGGUGACCAGCAGAGGGCAGCGCGCGCCAGGCAGCUGCCGCCCUGGAGGCCCCACCCCGGACAGCCACGUGCUAGCAGGGGGCGUACCUCCUCGGCUCCGGUGACAGAGUACGCAUGUCCUUUCACCAACUUCUGUGAGUGCAUCAGCACCAGCACCAGCACCAGCACCAGCACCAGCACCUGAGGCUCCCGCUGCAGAGGGCUGACAUCCGGGGUGGACCCAGCACAACUUUGGGCCAGCUGGGUGAUACACAGCUAGGAUUAGAACCAGGAAGCCAUUCUUACCAGCCACCUGAUUUAUUCUGGGUGAGUUUCUACAGUUUUUCUACCCCUGCAAUGGGUAGCUUUGCCCACUGGCAGAAGCUUUUGGUCUUUUCAGCUAAGAGGCAAUGGGGGCCCACCAGAGAAGCAGAGUUCUUUCUCAAGGCCAGAGCAGACAGCCCCAGAAUGUCCCAGUUCACUUGCUCAGAAAGAGCAAUGACUGUCCUGUACCAGUACAUCAUGUGAACAGCCACCAUACCCAUAUUACCUCCUUGAAUUAAGAGCCAAAUUUGGGCCAAAGUCAUCCUUUUAUAGAACAGAAUGUCUAUUCAAAACAGUCCCCGAAAUAGCUCCCGCUGUUUUGGAGUCCAGGGCAGCAGAGGCAAGAUGGGGUGUUGGGGAAGGGCGUGGUUACUUACUUGGCAUAGGCUUUCUCCAGAAGGGCACUCCAGAACUCACUCCCUUCAGCUGAAUGCACAAAGAGCAGCUCCCCGUCCUUAGUGGGCAGCCUGUCGUCCACCACCACCUCCACCCACUCGCCAUAUUGCCAGAACUGCAGGGCAAGAGGGACAAGAUAGGGUGGCACUGAGACUCUGAGCCUUGGCCUCAUCCGGCUCUCCCCAGCCCAGCCCCUUGCUGUGGGUUCCUAUGAUGCUCUUCGGUGUCCUAUGUUAAGUGUGCCCCUCACCAAGCAAGAAGCCAGCGGAGCUCAUCUGUGUCUCCAAAGCCGCAUGCACUUCUUUAAAAAAAUAUCAUCUCUCACUUGCUAUCAUAAAAAGAUUUUUAACCUUUUAUCUCAACCCUCAAAUAAUAAACAUAAAAAAAAACCCU
ensembl:antisense Gm37885 predicted gene, 37885